GAGGGGCGGCGCCGGUAGCGGCCGAAGCGUGUCUGUCGGACGCGCGUGUCCGCCGGGGGUGCUGGCGGGCCUUCGCCGGGCAUGGCGCAGCGCUCUGUGCCGCCCAGCCCCUUCCGUGCCUCCUGGCCAAUGGCCUCUUAAAGCUCCUUUUAUUUUUGUCGUCCUCGAGGCAAAAGAAGUAUCAUCCAGCUCUACCAGUCCCUCCCCCGCUCCGGGCCAUGAAGUGGAUGUGAAACAGGCUAUCCACGUUACCUGAGGUUAUGCUCAGCUUCAUCCCAUCCAGCAGUGCGAUGGAAGCAUGCAGAGGUUAUUCUGGUGUCGCCUCUGUUGUGUGAGGGUUAGGCUCACUACAGCGUCAGCUUCCUAAACUUCACGGUUUGACAUUUAAUAGUAAUGCCAGAGCUGUCUUUUAACUAAAAGAUUUAGUGGAGGCAGUGGCCUCAGUGUUGUAAUUAUUAGACUAUAUGGAAAAGACUUUUCUAGUUAACUUUGAACAAUGUACGUUUUUCUUCCUAGCCUUGACUGCAUUUUACACAAUAGCUCAGAAAAAAAAAAAAAGGAUACAUAAAAAGAAAAUCUUAAUUAAAACAGGAAAAAAAACCAUGUAACAACAAAAAAUAUUGUGAUCAAAUUUCACAUCUUUCGAACAUAGAAGUUUGGUGCGUGUUAAAGUGACUUUUACUCCCACCUGGACCUUGUAAGACCAAACUAUUAGAUACAGUGGUACAGAAGUGACAGAAAGUCUGAUCAGGUUACAUGGCCUUUGAAUUGCAGUUGUAGACUAAUUUGGAGAAUUUGAUGCCUUUCGUAGUACAACACCCACUUAGGAUUUGUAAAAAGAAAGCAGCCUUUUCCUUUUUGGGCAUUUUUUAUUUUCUUUGUUGAUUGAUUUGUUAGUGAGUUUUAUUGAUGAUGGAUGAUAAAAUUAAGGCAGGAGGAAAUUCAGGAAAAAUUCUACGUCCUAUGAAUAUUAUACAUACAUUUUAAAUGCAAGCAUCUCUUAAAAUUUUUGAAGAGAGAACACGUGUAUUCAUAAGCAUAGUAGUUAAACAAAUUGGACAAACCUCUACAGAACAGUUUGACUCCCAUCACAGAUACACUAGUGAACUUUUACUUGCCCUUGGCGUUACUGGGCAUAAAUUGGUAAACUUUAGCAGUGAUUGGGAGACCACAAGCCCUGUGAAUUUCCACACAGUAAAGAUUAGUUCUCUGUAUAAAAUACUUUUCUAGGAGUGUAUUUUUAACAGGUUGUUUCUCUCAGUACAGUAUUGUAUAAAAAUGUUUUAGUUUUAAAAUAAAGCUUGGUUAACACCUCAGGCUAGAGAUAUUUUUUCCAGUUUUUGCGUGUCCUACCUGUAUAUUUUAAAUACAAAAUACAAUCCCUAGAUUGAUACUGUUCUUUGCUAUUUAUGGCUUCUGUAUUUCGUUACAUAGAUAAGUAUGAUAAGGAUACCGUUAAUUUCACAGUGUUAACGCUUAAAGUGUUAUAUUACAGUUGGCUAGAGAAGAAAGAUUAUUUUAAUUUUUUUUUCCAAGUACACUUCUGCAACUAGAGUUGGAAAACUAACUCCUUAAAUAUUAUGCAACUUAGUCUGUAGAAACUGAGCUUUUGUGUCUCUGAGCUUGCUACAUGUUGCCUACCUUGACAGAAUUUCUGCUCAAAACCUGUGUGGAGACUUACUUAGUUGAAGCAAGAAGAAGAAUUCUGUCAAUAUAAUUCAUUCCUGUACUGGAGAGCACCACUGCCUGCUAUUGAUUUGUCUGAUAUUCAGAACCUAGAUGAAGAGACUCCAUCGGGCGCUAAAACUGGUGAAAGGACUGAUACCACAGAGACCGAAAUGGAAACCUGAUCAGUUGUUUCAUAGCUGUGCAUCUGUUCCCAGGAAACUUGUUUCCAUUGAGGUUCAGGUUGUGUUCCUUGAGUAAAUAAUAAGCAUGCUUAUGCCAUCUUGGAGAAACUGUUGUGGCAGUCUUUAAAAGCAAAUCUGAGUUGCCUUAGUGUAUGGAAUAAACAGUAUUGGGUACUUAACAGUAAAGCUGUCUGAAGGUGUGCAGUAAGGAGGAGCCUACAGUGUCUAACAAGAAUACUUGAAAAGAAGAGUACAGAAAACUAGAAUAUAGGGAUGCAGUUAAAACAAAUGGGGAUAUGUUACAUGUUGAAAGGAAAUACAAAAUCAUUUUGUCUGUCCUGGGCAAAAAAAAUGUGUGGUACCUGAAAGUGAAAUAUUGAACAUGUGAGUUUAUCAUAAAGCACACAAACUGUAUGUUUUUUUUCUGUAUAAUAGCUAAACCAAAAAAUAAGAGUCCAUCUGAAUUGGACAAAACAUUCCCUUUUUUAUGCAAACCAAAAACCAAGUGUGGCAGAGAAGAGGAAGGGAAGUGGGGGGCUACAUUCUGCUGAAAGCUGGUGCUGUUCUGGAAGGUUUCACAUUCUCAUUGUGAAAAAGUUUUUUCACCUUCCCUUUUUCACAUUACACACAGCAGUGGGCAUCGAGUUUUUUAUGUUUUUGGUUCAUUCUAAAGUAACUGCUAUUCUUAGUCUUUGUGAUGUUGCUCUGAACCCGUUGAUAACAUCUGAAUGACAGAUUGGGGCAGAUGUGUCAAGAAAAGUUAGUGCAAUAUAAAAUGACCACACACACUCUUUCAAACUUUACUGAAUGAGGUGUAGUUUUUGCAGAGACUGUGAAUUUUGCAGAAAGUUUUUGCAGAAGUUUGUUCAAAUAGUGUUUUUUUGCUGUGAAACAUGAACUUAAUGUUUGUGAUUUGCAAUUUAUUUACAAACUGAAAUACAAUUAGAUGUCUUUAAUAAUAGACUGAAGUUGUAUGGGAAGACUUACAUUUUGCGAAUAUGAUUUGUCUUUAAGGAUAGAAAGCAUUGUAUUUUUCCUGUAAUCAUUAUGGAAAAAGGCAACUUAUGAUUUUUAUUUUUUUCUAAUAAUGUGUUUGCUAAAGGACAAUAAAGUUUGGCCUGUGUGUGUGUGAAAACUUUGGCCC